CCGGUAUAGAUUGGCAUGGCUACGAAUUUCAUGUCAACGGCUCCUCAAAACGGCAGAAGCCGUCGACCGACUUGUUUUCUCUCUCUCCCAAAAAAUUUUCUCUGGAAGGACCUGCUGAUGAGUCCCGCUCCCCCAUCCGAGCAGCUCUCAGAAGCUCAGGAGAGAAAGAGAGAGGGAGAGAAAGAGAGAGAGAGAGAGAGACGAAGAUGCGAGUUAUGGUAAACAGACAGAGACGAUGAUGCGAUUUAUGGGACGGAAGCACGUCUCUCUCUCUUGAGAAUGUCAUCAUCGAACCUCCUCUGCCUUCCUCUCCAAAAAUUCUCAGGAAGCCAUCUUUCGUGCUUGCGUCAAAGGCAGGAGAACUUCCUGUAGCUAGGGUUUUUCUUCUUCUUUUCUCUUCAUAGGUUUUCCAUUUUUUACAAUAUCGCCAGGAGCACCUCAAUUUUCUCUUGCUGUCUGGCUGGAAAUUAAUGUUCGUCGUGGAAUUUGUUUUCCCUGCCCUGCAGAUUCUCCCUUCUUAGAUCCUCAUUGGCCCCCCCUGAAGAAGAAAUGAAGUAAACCGCCGCUUUCUUGCUUGCUGUUGUCAGAGGAAACCCUCAAAAGGACUGGAGACGGGAACCUCACGCAGACGUCAGAGGAAUGCUUGAGGUCAGCCACACUUGAAGCUUCCACACAAAUAGCUGAGCAUACACGCUUCUCAAAAUAUGUAGUUGUACAACCUUUUCUUUUUUCUAAAUAUAUGUUACCAACACAAAUAUAUGUAAGAUGAUAGGAUUGUACCAACACAAUUGUACCAAAUGUUUCAAAAUAUAUGUCACAUGACUAUCUUGCGCUUC